UUAAAAAUUGAUAACAUAAGGGAAAAUAAUGAUAUUACCUUAUUAUUAGUGUCGUCCAAAACUGGUGCCAGAAGACUCGGUAAGGCCAGAGACACAAACGUUAAUCGUCUUAAUCAGGCGUAAAGGGUUUGUAGGCGGCUUUUAAUUUACUUAUAAAAUUUUUAAAAAUAUAAAUAAGUUAAUAAUAAAAGCUAGAAUCAAAUAGAGGAUAUAUCAAAGAAUGCUUAGAGUAGGUCUGAUAUCCAUAGAUACUAAGUAGAAUAUUAAAGGCGAAAGCUUUUUUCCAUAAAUGAUUGACGCUCAGAAACGAAGGUGAGGAUAGGAAAUAGGAUUAGAUACCCAAAAUACCCCUCUCUGUCAACGAUGAAUGGUAAUUAUUAAUAAAAAAAUUAUUAUUAAUGAUAAUGUUAACACGAUAACCAUUCCGCCUUGUGAGUACAACUGCAAAGUUGAAAACAAAAAAAUUAGUCGGUUUCGGAGCAAACGAAGUGAAGCAUGUUAUUUAUCGAAAAAAACCCCGCAAAA
rnacentral:rRNA from 1 species